GCUGUCCUUGACCUCGCCUACGGCCUGGGUGGACCAGGACGGAGAAACGAACACACAGAACAGAACAUGGACACAAUGCAAUUGGGAUCAAGAAGAAGAUAUUCUCAAAAAUGAAUCAAAUCCAUGGAAUGGAUAUAGACAAAACGAAAAUGUAAAGGACUCCGUAAGGCUAGUGGCAAAAUGAUAGCAGAGUUAGAGGUGAGGCAGGGGUGAGGACAUCAUGCUAUUUCUGCAGUCCCUGAAGGACAAUUACAGAAGAGGCACACAGGUAUUUGCUCUUGUU